rnacentral:rRNA from 1 species
AUUCAGAGUUUGAUCCUGGCUCAGGAUGAACGCUGACAGAAUGCUUAACACAUGCAAGUCUACUUGAACUUCGGUUUGGGUGGCGGACGGGUGAGUAACGCGUAAAGAACUUGCCUCACAGUUAGGGACAACAUUUGGAAACGAAUGCUAAUACCUGAUAUUAUGAUUUUAGGGCAUCCUAAGAUUAUGAAAGCUAUAUGCGCUGUGAGAGAGCUUUGCGUCCCAUUAGCUAGUUGGAGAGGUAACGGCUCACCAAGGCGAUGAUGGGUAGCCGGCCUGAGAGGGUGAACGGCCACAAGGGGACUGAGACACGGCCCUUACUCCUACGGGAGGCAGCAGUGGGGAAUAUUGGACAAUGGACCAAAAGUCUGAUCCAGCAAUUCUGUGUGCACGAUGACGUUUUUCGGAAUGUAAAGUGCUUUCAGUUGGGAAGAAAAAAAUGACGGUACCAACAGAAGAAGUGACGGCUAAAUACGUGCCAGCAGCCGCGGUAAUACGUAUGUCACAAGCGUUAUUCGGAUUUAUUGGGCGUAAAGCGCGUCUAGGUGGUUAUGUAAGUCUGAUGUGAAAAUGCAGGGCUCAACUCUGUAUUGCGUUGGAAACUGUAUGACUAGAGUACUGGAGAGGUAAGCGGAACUACAAGUGUAGAGGUGAAAUUCGUAGAUAUUUGUAGGAAUGCCGAUGGGGAAGCCAGCUUACUGGACAGAUACUGACGCUAAAGCGCGAAAGCGUGGGUAGCAAACAGGAUUAGAUACCCUGGUAGUCCACGCCGUAAACGAUGAUUACUAGGUGUUGGGGGUCGAACCUCAGCGCCCAAGCUAACGCGAUAAGUAAUCCGCCUGGGGAGUACGUACGCAAGUAUG